UACUGUAAUUUCAGUAAAUGUAUGUAAAUAAUGUGGACUGCAGUUCACAAAUGUCAAUAUGUCUUAGAUGUCAUUAUUUUAGUAACAGGCCCCCUGAGAAUCCAGAUGACCAUUUAAACUCAGUUUUAAAUGUGUUUUGGCAUCACUCUGGUCAGGAGAUGCUUUAACUCCAUAUAACUGACUUGGCCAUGAUAUCUUUGACAAUGUGGACAGUGUCCAACCUUAAGAAAUGUCUUAGUGUGUGACUCUCAGGCCAACUCAGGUCUAGUGGCAGACUGAUCCAUUGCACCGACAUGUGUUUUUAUGUAAGAGUCGUUAAGUCAAAUCCCUCCCUCAAUUCUAUCAAGUUCCUGCUGAUUCUGCACAAUACAUUUAGUUGUUCAUUCAGCACAGAGAAAUAUAUGUUAACGAAUAAUUUGAAAUAUCAGAAAUGAAAUACCAGUUGUUAACCCUACCCAAGGGACAAAUUCUAAAGUGAACCUUUGUUUUUGUGUUGUGACCAAACCGUAGUUGCAGUAAAUGUAUGCUUAUUAAAGUUGCAUUAUAUCUCAAGUUCAAGUCUUUUAUCAAGUUCAAAUGGAGUUUCAACAUUUAACUUCAAUCCACACCGUAAAGCAGUUAACAGUUUGCCUGCCUUUGUGCUGACUCCCAGCAAUAGAAAAUGUGUUGUUGUGCCACGCGAAGGUCAACCCAGGUCUAGUGCCAGACUGACCCCGUGCACCAACAUGUGUGUUGUAAUGUAAGUCACAUAGUCCCCUCGACUGCACCAGGACCCUAGUGUCUGGUUUCUAAUUUAGGUUUGACUCUUCUUCCUUGGCAGGUGUGUGUGUAUAGAUGAAUGCACUGACAUCUCAAAUCAAGGGUGUUUAAUACUAACUACCAUGGCUAGUAACUCUUGAGAUAUGGAUUUAGCUUUUUGUGUGUGUUUAAAAAAAAAAAUGAGUUAUACACAAAAAAUACUUCCUGUUCAUAAUUCCUGCUUUUUUGUAAACAAUCACAGCAAAUAGGAAAAAGCAAAUUAAAAAAGGAAAUCCUAAUUACAUCAUAAAUGUGUAAAUCAGAAUAUCUGAAACAGUGAUUGCUUGGCAUUGUGUACAAUCAUUUAUUUCUCUCCAUAUACCCAAAUCAUGUCAACAUGGAGAAUCACAACAAAACAUGUCCCAGUUUUCAUGCUACUACAGUAGUGUGCAUAACACUGUAAGUUCAGCAAAUAUCAGACAAACGUAAAAUUCUGUAUCCAGUUCGUUUACAAAGUUCGUAAAAAAAUGAAAAUACAGUACAGAUAAAGUUGUUUCAUUUGAACCUGAUGUCUAUUCAGGAUGCGUGCCAGUGUUGACUGAGAGACCUGAUUGACAUUAUUGAAAAUGGCAUCGUCAACGAUAACGUUGGCUUGAAUUUUUCUGAGCCUGAUAGUAUUAUUGUCCAAAACCAUGUUUAUGAUCUCUCUCUCUUAUUCUUGCGUGCAUAUGGACCCCCUUCCUCCUUUCAAGUUAAUUUGAUAAAUUUGGUCCUCUUCUUCUUUGAGCACAUUUUCAUCCUGCUUCAGGUCUUCCUUUUCCUCUACCUUCACCUUAACCUCUGCCUCUGGCACGGCCUCCGCCUCUUCCUCUUCCUUCUUCUCUUCCUCCGUGGAUUCCCCCUCUCACCCUCACUCUUCUUCUUCUGACUCCUUCCAUUUUGGUUGAAGACAGGUGAACUCACCUGCUGCAUUUCUAUAGUGCUUAAAACUGUUUGGUGUGUCUACAGUUAAGCAAUCAUGUGUUUGCGCACUUGAUGGCUGUGUUUAACCAAUUGGCUCAUAGGUGUGGUAAUUUGACAGUCAGUGCUUUGUAAUUGCAAGGAAGUGACAUCUUGAUAUACUUCUGUGUCUUAUGUAUACAAGUGUGUUUAGUGUUUUGCAAAUCAUUGUGUGUAUUGUUUUGCAAAAAGUGUGAGGUUGAUAUGUGCUUAUAGUGGUGCAAAUCUGGGCUGAUGUUUUGCUCCUUGAGUGUAAGGUUUUGAUAAUUGUGUAAUACUUUUGAUUUUAGUGUUUAUGCAAUCAUAAAAAACUGUAAACUUUGACAAAGGCAAGCAAUGACGAGGCCUACUCUGUAAAUUGAUCAGCUAAUGUAUACGUUUGCAAUGUUUUUAUUGUUUGCAAAUUAUAAACCAGAUCAUGUGGAUUAUUUUCUCAGAUGAAUGGCAGUCUAUGUACGGUGGCCAAAGCUAAACCAGUAAUCCCAAAAACAAAAGCACACAGCUCAAUUUAACAGAUAACGUAUAAAUAAUUUCCCAUUUCUUUUUGAGUAGUAGCCUACUGUUCUUUCUUGUUUCAGCC
ensembl:lncRNA